UUUGUCUUGUGUCUUUUUCCUCUGUCUUGUUCAGUUGUUCUUGAUGUUUAGUUAUUGGUGGAUUUUCUCAAGUGUUUGCUGAUCCUUGGCUGUCCACUUAAGAGCAUUAUAAUAUGGAUUUGAAGCCCCAAGUGCAUCAACAGACAUAUAAGUGAACUGAGAUGUAUUUUUAAUUAUAACAUCCCAAAUAUUUUCUGGAGCACUUCAGUCUUUUCAGAGAGACUAUCUAAUCUCUCACCAGGGAUGUGGGAUAAUAACUAAAGUGCACCUGCUUUAACUUCUGAUGCUGGUUUUUUUUUUUUUUUUUUUUUUUUUUUUUUUGUCCCCAUCUGAUGCCUCACUAUGCUCUCUUUUGGGUUUGGUGUCUAAGGUCGGGAACAUUCCUAGUUUAAUAUUUUCAGGGAAAGCCUCCUGUUUGCAAGUUUGGGGAACGGUGAUCACUGAGCACAAAAGAUGUGUGGGUGGAGACUUCAGCUUCAAGAAACCUUAAGAAUUAUAUGGCAGAACACGAUGGCCACUAAGGUCCUCUUGUGAUUGUCUUCCCAUAAACCCAAAAAGUUGACCAGCGGUUCAUGCACCAAACCACUUCUUCAGAAGAACUAAGGAAAUCAGUUGAGAGACCACAGUGCCUUCUUCCAGUAUAACAAAAUGAAAACAUGUACUGAAGAAGGCAGGAAGGAAAGAGUGGGUUGUGUCAAACUUCCCCCAAGGCUACGCAGCCCUUCAAGAAACAAGAUGCCUUCUACUUUAACGAGGGAGAGAUAUACAAGCUUUAGACAUUAAACCUAGUGUCUUGGACGUCAUGGGCUGUGUGUGGACUAUGUUGCACAUAGUAGCCUAAUGAGGGGUUAGGUCUGGCAUUGUGAACUCCCUGUAGUACCCCCUCAGGGAUUGAUCACUUGAUACAGGUAAACCUCCAUCUCAAGCUCUGCCUAAGAUCCCACACAGCACCUGAGAUGGGUGUGACCUUCCAAGAUGUCAUUCAAUCUGCUGACUACAAUAUAUCACAAAGCAAGACUCCACCCUUGAAACCUUACCUUUGGUGUAUCACCUUAAAUAAACCACAG
rnacentral:lncRNA from 1 species